rnacentral:tRNA from 1 species
AAGUUUAGGUUAACCCAACCAAACCAAGAGCCUUCA